UACGUAGGGGGCGAGCGUUGUCCGGAUUUAUUGGGCGUAAAGAGCUCGUAGGCGGCUCGGUAAGUCGGAUGUGAAAUCUCCACGCUCAACGUGGAGGGGCCAUUCGAUACUGCCGUGACUCGAGUCCGGUAGGGGAGUGUGGAAUUCCCGGUGUAGCGGUGAAAUGCGCAGAGAUCGGGAGGAACACCAGAGGCGAAGGCGGCGAACUGGACGAUAACUGACACUCAAUUGCGAAAGCGUGGGGAGCAAACAGG
rnacentral:rRNA from 1 species